AUCUUAUCCAGAGAAGCUGAGGGUCCUGGCCCGGUGAAGCUUCAGCAACCUUCAACUAUUUUUUUGUUGAAAAGGUGCUAAUUCCAGCAAGUUUUUUAAAACUUGGCAGAUAAGAA
rnacentral:ncRNA from 2 species